UGGCCAAGACUUGUGCUUUCCUAAGAAGAAUGAAUAUUCUCAUAGAAAAUUUCGAAGCACUAAUGAUGUAGUUUUGGGGGAAAUGAAGAAAGACUACAUGCUAUAUGGAGGGAAGGGCAUUACCAGAAAUUAGUCUAGUUAAAUAAAUGUCUAUACGAAUGCUAAAGAUUGUCAUAUAUGCUGUUAAGUUAAUG